UCCACUGCCCAAUUGCGCCCCCGCCUUCCUUCCCCACCGCUGUGCUCCCCUCUCCCCAUAGACGCCUCCUACCCUCUGACGCCGCCCCGCGCGAUGGACGCCAUCUCUCCCCUAUUUCCCUCUUCACCUCCACGGCCACGCCGCAUCGCCGGCCAAGCCCCGCUGCGCUGGCUAUGAUCCGCCACGCCGCCCCAUAGCCCCACACCCAAAGCUGCAGCCGAGAUGCAUCUGAGCGAGAACGAGGGGAUUGAGGGCGUGCGGUUCGCAAUGACUGUCGGGCAGGGCUUCGUCGGUGCCGCGCUAUGCCUGGAGCUGAUCCGCCGCGGCGCCCUGGAGGUCUGCUCCCUCGACAGCUCGACCUGCGCGAUUCCUCCGCUUGGUCCCAUCAGCUCCUCGACGCCGGCGUCCGCUUCUUACAAGGUUCUCUCCCUCACUCUCUUUUGCUUAAAUUAUUGUGUUUUUUUCUGUCGCCAUGAGUGGGCGUGAGACUUAAAUGCAGCGUCGCAGCGAAGAAGGUAAUUUGUUUUUCUGUCCAAUGCAUUGAAGCUAUAAUGUACGUGCUUAGUAAAUUGUUUAGGGCGGUGUGAGACUUAUAAUGCCUGCCAACUUAGUGAAUUGAUAAACCUGAAGUUUGUGUUUUUCACUUCACUUGAAUUUGCACAAUUCAGUUAUGUGUUCAUUGAAUGGAUUUGACAUGACAUUUCCUGCAAGCAAUGAGGGAAGUAGAUGGGCAUGGCUGAUCUGUUCGUCAUGCAGUUAUGUGCUAUCUUAUUCCUUGAUGCUGAGUGUGAGUCCAUGCAUGUGCAAGCUAUAUGUACUCUUAGUCUAUUAGUGUUCUCUAACUUAUUUCCUACUAUUCCUGUAUGGUACCACUUCUUCCCUAGCAAGGAUAUGUGAGCCUAUUAACCUUAUGUUGUCUGUCAAUGUCAGAUUUAGAACCCAACAAAGAAAUAUGGCAGAAAUUUGCAUAUUAACCUUUCUUGUGCAGGUUCGAGAUAUAAAGGUCAUAUAGGUGCUUCUUUGCCAUGAGUCUGUAAACUUGAUGAGGCAACAUGGUCUUCAAGCACAAGAAAUACCCAUGUACGUGAGUGUGGGCUGCCGCUCCGCCCUCCACUCCUCUGCUUGACCACCGCCACCGCCACGUUGAAGCCCCUUGCCACCUAGCGGCAUGCUUUCUCGAGGAUCAGCAGCUAAUGGCAAACGCGCCAGCGAGCCCCGAGUGCGCUGGACCGUGCAACAUGAAGAAGACCAUCUGGACAAAGGGCAGGUACACGAUAGCCAAGAACACAAGGAUACGUGCGGGUCUGCAUUUCUGAGGUAUAUCUCUUUUAGCACUAGCGAUUAAAUGGUCUGUAGCUGGUCAGGCGUGCUUGCCUAAAAUGUACUUUAGUAGUUGCUAGAGCCAUGCUAGCUUCUAUGUUGUUCUUGCAGCCUCAACUAGCUUAUUUCAUUUGAAGCAAAUGUUGUUCUAUCCUUCCAAUUAAUGUUAUUCAGAUCUUUUUUUCUUUUUUCUGUUGUCAUUCACAAUACAAAUGUUAUGAGAAUUUCAGGAAUUUUGUCAUAUCUUUCUCCCAGUUACCUUAAUUUUGUAAAUUGUGGUCUAAUUCAAUUUUGAGUUUGUUUUCAGAAAAGACUACUUUAAAGCUGUGUAAAUCCAUUAUUUCCUUUGAGUUUGCCGUGGAGUUGAGUUGGGAACCUUUUUUUAUACUUGGUGGAUGCACUGACUUAGGGUGCGUUUGGUUAGGGAACGAAGUGGAAUGGAAUGUCAUGGUUCCGUUCCAUCCUUGUGUUCGGUAUAUGCAAAUCUAAGGAAUGGAAUGGUUAUGUUUUAGUGUUUGGUUUCAGAUAUCUGAUGAAAUGGAUUUGUUCAUCCCUACACUUGUCUGCUUGUGAUUAUGUAGAAUAUAUUGAACUUUGAACUGGAUUUCAGUCAAUCAAAAACCAUCGGAUGCAUUGGCACACACAUAUGGGCAAGAUUAAGUUGAAUUAGAAAAGAGCGGUGCAUACACUGAAUCAGAUUUCAGAACACCAAAUAUAGCCGGUUUCAGUCAAAUGGUUGAUCUCGACAAGACAAAGACUGAAUUGGAUGGGGAGCUCAACAGUACAGGCCUUAGCCCCAAUCGUCGGCGCACUGGUUGGGCUCGCUGGGCGCCGGCACAGGACUGGAGACACCUGGGCGCGAAGACCACGCCGAGCGGUGCACGAGGCCGCACAGCUGCGCAUACUACAGAUCAACGCCGUCGCUCGCGGCCAUCCAGCGCGGCCGUCUCGUGAUGCAUGAGGCCAUGCAGGAGCUGCUCGUGCACUCUGGUACAAAUCUACGCCGCUGCCCUCCUCCAUUAGCCGCCGUCUCUUGGUGCCCGCCGUCGCUCGCCUCCAUCCAGCGCCGUCUUUCGGUGCCCGCCGUCGCUCGCCUCCAUCCAGCGCCGCCUAUUGCUACCCGCCGCCACUCGUGUCGAGAGAGGGAGAGGCGGUAGAGUUGCGGGAGUGUGAGGAGAACGACCGGUUUCAUGUGGUCCGCUCGAUUUGGAAGUACGAGCGCGUUCCGCAUCUGAGAGGAAUAUUCGGUUCGUGGGAACUAGUCGGUUACCGUUCCAGCUCUAUGCCAAACACCAGAACGGGCCUAGAAACGGGUCCGACCCAUGACAUUCCAGUUGAUGACUGCAACCAAACACACCCUUAGUGACGGAGACUUGCCUGAAUGUUAUUUUCCUCCGCGUGAAGUGCUUACAAUUCUCAAAGGCUUCAACAAGUCCCGGAGGAGAUUGACAAGGAAUCCUUGUUGUAAAGAGUGAAGGCAUGGUUUGGUUUGCAUGACAUUAUCUUCAAUUGGCUGGAGAUAUAUAAAUGUUGAUACUUGAUUUUCUCAUCUGGCAUCUUAUCACUUUUGUGAAACACACUUGAUUUUCUCAUAGUAAUAGUUCUUUAUUAUUGCUGAUACAUAAAUGGAUCUUUAUUCAAUGGUACUUGUAUGUGUGUAUGGAGAAUGGUGAUUAACCUUUUAAAUAAUCCAUUGUCCAACAAGGUGAUUCUAA